AUUGAACGCUGGCGGCAUGCCUUACACAUGCAAGUCGAACGGUAACGGGCCUUCGGGUGCCGACGAGUGGCGAACGGGUGAGUAAUACAUCGGAACGUGCCCGAUCGUGGGGGAUAACGAGGCGAAAGCUUUGCUAAUACCGCAUACGAUCUACGGAUGAAAGCAGGGGACCGCAAGGCCUUGCGCGGACGGAGCGGCCGAUGGCAGAUUAGGUAGUUGGUGGGAUAAAAGCUUACCAAGCCGACGAUCUGUAGCUGGUCUGCGAGGAUGAUCAGCCACACUGGGACUGAGACACGGCCCAGACUCCUACGGGAGGCAGCAGUGGGGAAUUUUGGACAAUGGGCGCAAGCCUGAUCCAGCCAUGCCGCGUGCAGGAUGAAGGCCUUCGGGUUGUAAACUGCUUUUGUACGGAACGAAAAGCCUUCUUUUAAUACAGGAGGGUCAUGACGGUACCGUAAGAAUAGGCACCGGCUAACUACGUG
rnacentral:rRNA from 1 species